UACGGAGGGGGCUAGCGUUGUUCGGAAUUACUGGGCGUAAAGCGCACGUAGGCGGCUUUGUAAGUUAGAGGUGAAAGCCCGGGGCUCAACCCCGGAAUUGCCUUUAAGACUGCAUCGCUAGAAUUGUGGAGAGGUAAGUGGAAUUCCGAGUGUAGAGGUGAAAUUCGUAGAUAUUCGGAAGAACACCAGUGGCGAAGGCGACUUACUGGCCCGGUACUGACGCUGAGGCACGAAAGCGUGGGGAGCAAACAGG
rnacentral:rRNA from 1 species